rnacentral:lncRNA from 1 species
GUGGUUGGGAUGAUGUUAGAGCAUGCCUAACUCUAAGCGAUUGCUCUUAGCUCUCCAAGUCUUGACUGAACAACACGAUAUCUCAUUUAGCAUGACAGAACUACUACAUGGUUACUUCAUAAGGGAACACGAUGGUGCGAAAGGUCGAUUUUCCUUAAAUACAAAGAAAAAUAUCGAUAGAUUGGUAGUUGAUCUUGCUUCUAGAGAUAAAGACUGGAAAGGAUCUUACUUUCUCUCGUCAGGCAAUUUGGUUCGGUCGGAGAAUUAUAGUUUCCCUUCAACGUGGUCACACGAUGAGUUUUGUAGAUCGCUUACUUUUAAUGUACUUUACUGAUUCGAGAUUCUUAUUUCAUUUUCUUAUAGGUCUUCACAUCAACACCCAACUUUCAAAGGCUUGUUUGUAAAAGAGCACAUUUCUAAGAUCUUUGCGAUACCCAAGGAUCUAAGAGAUUUGCCAGUUCCUUUUGUAUUCAGAGGUCCUUUCUUCCAGUAGCUCAUAGGAACAUACUUCAGCAUAAUCAAGAAAUAUUCCUUCUAAUUUUUCAAGACAUAAGAUCCCUAUUAUAAUGGCAAAGAGAGGUAUGAAAAUUCUUGGUAGUAACCUUCCUUUGAGCGAUCCGCUUUACUCGACUUAUCGUGAGAUUGCAGAUUGAAUUAUGUAAAGAGUGAUGAGAUCUUCGCUUGACGCUUUGGAUAUGAGAAAGGCAAAAGAAAAGUCUAAGAAAAUUUAUCCUUAUACGAUGCUAGCUGACACUCUAAUCCCGUCCGAUAUUUUUCGAGCCAGACCGAGCUGAAUGAUGCUCCCUUCUCGUUGAUUUGAAAGUGCGGUCAUUCGGGGCCAUUGUUGAUUGAUGAUGAUUAGAUCGUACUUACAUUUCCUUCGUUUGGAUUGGUUUGAUGGUGAUGGUAGAGCUACCCUUAUAUGGGAUUCCAAAUAAUUUUUGACAUUUGUAUCAGAUCUUCUCCCUUAGGUUAAGGUUUUCCACAUCCCUACAGAUGAGGAACGUUUCAAUUCUUUGAUGAGUAAUACGUUUUUCCCACUUGGUGAAUCUCCUAAGAGCAAAGACAUGUUAGGGUCUCCGAUGUAAUUUGCUCAUAGCGUGUCUAAUCUUCAAAAAAUAAAAGACCUUCGUGAAGUGCCACCAUCCCCUAAUUAGAGAAUGCAGAUGAAUCGGAAGGAAUGGUAAGCACGAUCGAAUCAUCAUUGCCAACAAUGGCCCCAAAUGAUCGCGUUUUCGGAUUAACAAGAGGGAAAAUUAGGCAGCUCGAUCUGGCUCUAAAAAAUCAUCAGAU